rnacentral:lncRNA from 1 species
GUCCCGUUCCGCCUCGUACCGUUGCGUGGGUCCAUAAGGCCAACCACAAGACUGGAAAAAGAAAAGCGCCUUUACUACACUUACAGAUAAUUGUUUGUUGAAUAGCUGUCUCUUACUAACUGAUACCGAACCUGCUCCUGCGUGAUCCGUUGCUGAUGAUCCCGGUGCAAGAAGGGAUUCUUGUUAAGUAUCAAUCAGAUCCCCUAACUUCCAAGAGGGCAUUCAUUCGUGAAACCUGUUUUGGCAUAUGCCUCUUCCUUGCUUGGACUAGCUUAGCGAAAGGGAAUACUGCCUUUAACAGCUGCCUAUUCUAUCGCGGAGUGAAGUCAAGAGAUGAGGCUUCAACUAGACAGAUCGACGAGAUUACUUGCUAAAGGAAUGCCGGGGGGCAUAGCAAAGGUAGGACUCGUUUUGAUUUCAUUUCGAAAAGAGCAAGAUGCUUUAGAGUCGGAAAUCAGUUCGGACAUAAUCCUCUUCUCUAGAGGAUUCUAAACCUUCCCCAG